GGCCUCUGCCUGACAACCCUGGUCCAUCACGAAGUGAUCCAGCUCGGGGUCCAUCUGUCGAAAGGCUGAUAUUUGUUCCCCGUGACCGUAAAUGCCCAUCAUUUAGGGGUGCUUCAGGAAGCGUUUUUUUCAAGAAAACAGCAAGAGGGAGAGAGUCUACUUGAGUUUUCCAUAGCAUUGAUGCAUCUAAUGGCUCACUCGGGCAUUGCCAUAUGGAACCCGACCGGCGCGUAGCCCUAGUUGUCUCUCCUCUGCAGCUUAUGACCACGGCCCGGUGUGUUCGUGUAGUGUCCUUUACGGCUUAGAUCAAUGGCCACGAGUUUUGGUAUGUAUGAAACCUGAAUGUUGUUGCCGCUUUUGUUGCACAUACGAUAGAUCUGAUGAUUUACUAUUUCCAUUACAGGUCGCAUGGCUUAGCCCCGCUGUCUGUUUAGUGUGGUCAUGCUGCUGUCUUGUCCAUAGCGUUAGUAUAGGUCUAGGCUAAUUUCCUGUGUUUACGCUACAGCUCCUCCGCGUUGCGGUAGGUUUCCUGGGGCGGUUUGUGGUGCUUGCGUGUGCUUGCUUGGGAUUUCCCUGUUAUGUCCGUUUCCUUGUUUUGUUUGCUUGUGCGCUUUCUUUUGGCUUGUGUAUAUCCGUGUGUGCCUCGUUUGUUUUGUUUGGUUUCGGUUGCCGUGUCGCCCCCCCCCCUCUAGAGUAAUGCAUGCGGGUGGGUUGUUUUGUGUGUAGCUUUAUUUUCCUUUGAAUGUUGCAUGCUUGUAUCGCUGCUAGGGUGGUUGCCCAUAAUACCAACAGCUCUCUUCAUUCAUUUACGUAUGAUAUGCGUGUGUGUGUUCGCUGCUGCUUCUUUUGAUCAGUUUAUGCUUUGGCAGGCUAGUGGUUUAUCUUUGGCGGGGGUAGCUAGUCACCUGGUGGUGGGCUUGUGAAAUUCACCCUGGAGUGUAGAACUAUUACUGUGUAUUAAGGAGUAUUGGUGGUGGCUUGCUGUGACAGUGGUGUGACACUUUUCUGCAGUGAGAGUGCACGUGUGGACACCCCCUUCAGAUAGCCUGCUCCCCCCUCCAGGUAAGCCCUACCUGCCGGUAUAAUUUUCUGUUUUCUUUUAGUGUUGCAUUCCCAACCAAUGUUUUAAUAUUAAUUGUUACAACUCAUGUCUAUUUGUGCUGCAAUCACACGCAGUACAGUAAGAACAUAAUAAUAAUAAAAUAUAUUUUUAUAUCUUAACCCAUGCCAGUUCUUUUCAGUACGAGCAUCACAUCACACUCCCUCUCCC